GUGUUUGGCUAAAAUUUUCAAAGGGUAUAUGCCAGGGGUGGCCAAACUUAUUGGCUCUCUGAGCCGCAUACAACAGUCUUCAGAAAUUUGCGAGCUGGGGUG